rfam:Rhodospirillales bacterium 47_12_T64 BD02T64_scaffold_2685, whole genome shotgun sequence.
CAGGUGCUGCGGAACGCGUGGGGUUCGUAAUUUCCCUGGGGCCUAAAUCUUCUUACGGGAGCUGUCCCUGCUGAGAUCGUGGUCUUGGUAUAUGGCGCCCACCUGCACUGCAGGCCACAAGAGGACUUGGAACUAACGGUUACUGCGGCACCACU